GGGCGAGUAAUAGUAGUAGGACAAACAACAUAAGCCUUUUCCAAUAAAUUUAUUGAGCCCGAAGCAUCACACCAGCUAAAAGACAGAUAUCUUGUUCCAUAUAAUCCAACAAUUGGGCCCUAUUAUCCUUCAGAGAAGACACUUGAACCUUGUCAUGUGCUUUUGAGCUCUUGAACCUAAGUGCGGACAUAAAGUCUUAGCCAAUGUUUCUAGACUAUUAGGGAGUAGAGUGU
rnacentral:lncRNA from 1 species